UUUAAUGACAUGACCAUUCUUCAUUUGUCUGAGGUCUAGUCAAGUGUAACGAUCCAAAGCAUCGCUUAUCUCUUGUUUUCUCCAAGUUAUUGCUCUGUCAGCUGUGAUGUUUUAGUGAUGGGAUCAUAUGUACAUGCAUAUUAUUAAUUUGGGGUAAUCUGGUCGGCUCGUCAGUACUGGAUGUUUUUGUAAAAACCACUGGAAUUUAUUGUGUUAACCAGAAAUAAGACUUCAAUAAAUGAGCAUGUUUGACCCGAAAAGUCUGCUCUAAAACUAACUCGCAUCGCUCCGAAACACACUUUUUGAUGCUCCAAAGCAGGUUCGAAGCUGCUCCAAAACUCCCAUUUCACCGCUUCAAAGCUGCUGCAAAACAGCAUUAUUCCUGCUCCCUGAGCUGCUCCAAAAGGCUGAAGCCCACUUCCACCCCUG
rnacentral:lncRNA from 1 species